GUCGCCACUUCAUCUGCGUUACCAGGUGCUCAAAGCGGUAUUGCGAGGGAUUCACUAGCUUCAGCUUGUAUUCGAUGUUACCAUCUUCUGCCUCAGGCGGCAGGUACGGCGGGUUGUUGGCCUUGCCCCCCCGGCUCCGCCCGCUCUUCUUCUUCGCCUUCGAGCCGCCGCCGCCGCCGCCGGGCGCGGCCCCUCCGCGUCCGCGAAACGCCGCGCCCGUCGGCCUGCAGCAGCCCCCGAACAGCUCCGACACCCGCGAAUCCAUGGCGGCCGGCGCGGCCCCGCCGCCCCGGUGCGGUACCCGCUCCCCCCCCGGGCUCCCCGCCGCCCCGGCCCCCGCCGUCAGCAAGCCGCCGCGCGGCACCACGGGAAAUGGAGUCCGCAGCGCCGCCCGCCUACA
rnacentral:lncRNA from 1 species